rnacentral:tRNA from 1 species
GCAGGGGUGCCCGAGCGGCCAAAGGGGGAGGACUUAAGAUCCUCUGGCGCAGGCCUUCGAGGGUUCGAAUCCCUUCCCCUGCACUA